rnacentral:rRNA from 1 species
UGGGGAAUUUUGGACAAUGGGCGAAAGCCUGAUCCAGCAAUGCCGCGUGUGUGAAGAAGGCCUUCGGGUUGUAAAGCACUUUUGUCCGGAAAGAAAUCCUUGGUUCUAAUAUAGCCGGGGGAUGACGGUACCGGAAGAAUAAGCACCGGCUAACUACGUGCCAGCAGCCGCGGUAAUACGUAGGGUGCGAGCGUUAAUCGGAAUUACUGGGCGUAAAGCGUGCGCAGGCGGUUUGCUAAGACCGAUGUGAAAUCCCCGGGCUCAACCUGGGAACUGCAUUGGUGACUGGCAGGCUAGAGUAUGGCAGAGGGGGGUAGAAUUCCACGUGUAGCAGUGAAAUGCGUAGAGAUGUGGAGGAAUACCGAUGGCGAAGGCAGCCCCCUGGGCCAAUACUGACGCUCAUGCACGAAAGCGUGGGGAGCAAACAGGAUUAGAUACCCCUGGUAGUCCACGCCCUAAACGAUGUCAACUGUUGUUGGGGAUUCAUUUCCUUAGUAACGUAGCUAACGCGUGAAGUUGACCGCCUGGGGAGUACGGUCGCAAGAUUAAAACUUAAAGGAAUUGACGGGGUCAUAGCUGUUUCCU